AAGUGAUGAGAUGAGAGCCAGAGGGGAAAUGCAGUACUUUAGGAGCUCCUUAUAGCCCCUCUCCUCUGCUCCCUUGAUCCUCAUUAAACACUUGCUCAAUCCAUCAAACUUACUCAACUAUUGUUUUCCUAGCUCAGCUGUUUUGCAGUGACUGUGACAACACAUCCAUUCCUGGUAUCUGGGAUCCUCAGCAACAAAUUGCAGAAGAAAGAAUGCAACACAGUACAAAAGGAAGUAAAAGAGGAAGAAAUGGCAGAAGACUUGGUGAAAUCCAGGCUAUAGAACACAAGACAGAAACUCCCUCUUCCAUGUUCAUGAAUGAAGGAGAAAGGAUAGAAAACCACUUUGAAAGGGCAUCUUGCUGCUGAGUGCUUUGUAGAUUACACACAGGAGGACUCUGAGAAGUAGUUUUGAUGUGCUACAGGAAAAAGUGAACUAGGGUUGCAACAGAAUUCCUGAAACAGAACCAUUUAAAAGACUCUCAAAGACUCUUCCUAGGAAAGAGUACAGUGAAGACAAGACCUAAAUGAAAAAGCCUUUUCAAAAGCUUCAUCUCUCUGUGGUUUAAGAACUAUAAUCCGAUGGACCUCAACUCUCCAGGAUGCCUCUUGGCCACCUGGAGAUCCAGAAUCUGAGCAAACAUGGAGUUUCUGGAUCACCCAAGAGAUGCUAACUGCAACACUGGACAGCUUGUGGUAGGGGAGGUCUUUUCUCACAGAUCAAAGCUGCUGCUGUGGAUGGUGCCCUGUAAGGAAGAGAGGGCAGCGGCAGUGCAACCCUGAAGCAUCAAUCCUCUGUCCUCGAGCAGAGAGACGUGGUGCAGAGACCACAGAUCAAGCUGCAUUUGACCUAAGGAGUCUGAAGAGUCAGAGGACACAGCACUGCACUGCACACACACAAGGAGCACAUUUAGCAAUUGUGAAGUGUGAGACAAAAAGUCAUCUGUUUAAAUCUUGAGCUCAAGACAUUAAUGUAGUAAUUCUGAUGUCAAAGCCCUGUUCUGCUGACUUAAACUCUUAACAAAGUCACAGGGUUUCUACGACCUACAUUUUAGACAGGAGACUUUUUACCUUGACUUUCCAGUCUAAAGUGAUGGGAACAAUGUUUCCCUACCUCCCUUGCAGACAUUCAGGGAAAGUGAAUGAGCUCAGGUUUGGACAGCACUUUUGACUACAGAAAAUGUCAUGUACUUAAAUGAAAUUGACUGAAAAGUUAGCAUUAAAAUCAACAGAAAAAAGGAGGCAGGAGGAGGCAUUCAGGACUGCUUCAAUGUUCUCUUAGAAGCAGAAUCAAGUCUGUAGAUGAUUGCUAUGACUAAGAAAAAAUAAACCCACCUAGGUAAAAAAGAAAAUGAGCAAAGUCACUGUGAAGGAUUCCUCUUCUAGAGAUCAGGCUACUGCUAUAUUUGCUUUCUGUUAAAACUCUUCAA